rnacentral:rRNA from 1 species
AUUGAACGCUAGCGGGAUGCUUUACACAUGCAAGUCGAACGGCAGCGCGGACUUCGGUCUGGCGGCGAGUGGCGAACGGGUGAGUAAUGUAUCGGAACGUGCCCAGUAGCGGGGGAUAACUACGCGAAAGCGUAGCUAAUACCGCAUACGCCCUACGGGGGAAAGCAGGGGAUCGUAAGACCUUGCACUAUUGGAGCGGCCGAUAUCGGAUUCGCUAGUUGGUGAGGUAACGGCUCACCAAGGCGACGAUCCGUAGCUGGUUUGAGAGGACGACCAGCCACACUGGGACUGAGACACGGCCCAGACUCCUACGGGAGGCAGCAGUGGGGAAUUUUGGACAAUGGGGGCAACCCUGAUCCAGCCAUCCCGCGUGUGCGAUGAAGGCCUUCGGGUUGUAAAGCACUUUUGGCAGGAAAGAAACGUCGCGGGCUAAUACCCCGUGGAACUGACGGUACCUGCAGAAUAAGCACCGGCUAACUACGU